GGGGAAUAUUGCACAAUGGGGGAAACCCUGAUGCAGCAACGCCGCGUGAAGGAUGAAGGUUUUCGGAUUGUAAACUUCUUUAGUCAGAGACGAAAAAAAUGACGGUACCUGAAGAAUAAGCCACGGCUAACUACGUGCUAGCAGCCGCGGUAAUACGUAGGUGGCAAGCGUUGUCCGGAAUUACUGGGUGUAAAGGGCGUGUAGGCGGGAAUGUAAGUCAGAUGUGAAAUCCCAGGGCUUAACCCUGGAGCUGCAUCUGAAACUAUGUUUCUUGAGUGCUGGAGAGGAAAGCGGAAUUCCUAGUGUAGUGGUGAAAUGCGUAGAUAUUAGGAGGAACACCAGUGGCGAAGGCGGCUUUCUGGACGGUAACUGAUGCUGAGGCGCGAAAGCGUGGGGAGCAAAC
rnacentral:rRNA from 1 species